rnacentral:rRNA from 1 species
GAUGAACGCUGGCGGCGUGCCUAAUACAUGCAAGUCGAGCGAACAGACGAGGAGCUUGCUCCUCUGACGUUAGCGGCGGACGGGUGAGUAACACGUGGAUAACCUACCUAUAAGACUGGGAUAACUUCGGGAAACCGGAGCUAAUACCGGAUAAUAUAUUGAACCGCAUGGUUCAAUAGUGAAAGACGGUUUUGCUGUCACUUAUAGAUGGAUCCGCGCCGCAUUAGCUAGUUGGUAAGGUAACGGCUUACCAAGGCAACGAUGCGUAGCCGACCUGAGGGGGGGAUCGGCAACACGGGAAAGAAGAAGAGGCCCAAAACCCGAGGGGGGGCAGGAGUAGGGAACUUACGGAAAGGGGCAAAGGCCUAAGGGGAGAAAGCGGGGGAAGUAAGGAGGGGUUUGGAAGAGUAAAAGCUGUUUAUAAGGGAAAAAAAAAAGUGUAAGAAAGUGGACAAGUAUGAAGGGAACCGAAGAAGAAGACCAGGCUAAACUAGGG